GCCGGUUCUGAAACCAGACUUUGACCUGCCUUUCGGUGAGGUCCAGCAAGGCCGCGAUCUCGACGCGGCGUGGCCGGCACAGGAAAAGAUGAGUGAGGAUCUCCGCGUUGGAGGAAGAGGGAGUCGAAAGAGGCUUCCACUCUUUGAAAAAGACCCAAUGGUGGUUGGGCUUCGGGUCACGUGACACCUUCUUUGUGGCUCCGGAAGAGGAUUGUGAAGUUUAGGUUUCGUGGAAGAAACCGAUAAUUGAGGAAAAAAAAAAAUCAAGAUUUGGGGGGAAUUACCUACAAAGAUGUAAGGUGUGUUAAUUUGGGCGCUUCUUGGAUUCUACCCUGAGGAGGAGGCGCGUGGUGAGAGGAGAGCUCCACCAGCUGCGCGCUCGUGUACGCCGUCCGCGCCCGCUUGGACGCCGCCGACCCCGGGGGGCUCUUGUCCCCUCCCCCGCCGCCGCCGCCACCGCCCCCGCUGCCACCACUGCCUCCGCCGCCGCCGCCACCGCCGCCGCCACCACAGCCCUCUGCUGGAUCCGAGGGGGAGGGGUGGGAAGGGGAGAAAAUGAAAUAAAAGAUAAUUACUGAACACGCCGAAAUUGAAUGCAUCGUUUCUUAAUAAAUCCAGGCCUGGACUCAGAGCCCCCGCCGCCCUCCCCUUCGGGUCCCCGCCGCCUCCUCACUCCCCCACCCCACCGCCCGUCGCAUUAGCGGACACUCUAUAAUAGUGGCAUUUAUUAAGAGACC
rnacentral:lncRNA from 10 species